rnacentral:rRNA from 1 species
AUGAGAAACCAAGAGGCGAUGGCGUUUGAAUCAGGAUCUAGCGAUGCCCCGGGCGACUGCCCCGGCCCCUGCCCCUCCGCCGCCCUGGCACCCGCGGGCGAGCCCCCUAGCAUCGCCCCUCGCUCCCGCGCCCUGCGCCCGCCAACCCCUCCGGAGGCCUCGUCGCCGCCCACGCCGGCUCACUGGGUCGACCUCGCCGAGGAUGCGGAUCGGGCGGCUGGCCUCCGCAUCCAGCGCCGCGACAGCACCCCACCUCCUCCCCGUAGCCUACCGGUGCUGACCAGCGUGGAUGGCGGCUCCGUCGCCGUCUCGCAGUCUCGCCCGAGCGUUCGGCCGCCGUUCCGUUGGGUGCUGUUUCUCCCGCCGGUCCGGCCGACUCCUCCGACACUUCCAGUGUGGGAAUGCUCAUCCUUCCGGCGACAUCUCCGCGCUCCCCCACCUCGGACCCCCGUCAGCCAUGGGGAGUGGGGUGGCUUCCGUUCUUUCUACGCCUGUGGAUGCACCUCCGCACCCGCCACGGACUGCUGCCUACUCCAGGCGUGGGCGCUCGACCUCGACUCUGGUGAUGUCCUCAUGGCGCAGCGCCGGAUCGAUGCUGCUCGGCCGGCUGGCAGCCCUGCUCUGCCAAUGCUGGAGCGGGCAGAGCUUCAAACCGCGGCCCGCAACCUCAAGCCAGGUACCCCAGUCAUCCCAGCUAGUUCUUCUACAUGCCCUUUUUCUGCCUUGGAGUCGGCUCCGCUUGGGCACUUAGCUAAGGUCGCGGCCGACUCUGCUAUAGUUUCCAGGGGGGAGGUGGCUAACCCCUUAGUCCAGAUCGAGGCAAUCCGGGCCCGGGAAAUCCUGGAUGGGAGGUUGGCUGAGGCUCGUGGUCGCAUGGCCACACCCCUCCCCCCGCGGCCAGUGGACCUCACACGUCCACCCUGUCAGAUACCCAGGCCCCGCAAGCGGCCCUGGAGAUCCGUGGCAGCACCUGCUCCCGCCCCGCCGCCCUCCGUGCCCAAACUGCCUCCCGUGUCCUCGGGUCAAGCAGCCCCCCGAUGGCGGCUUAAUGCGGACCCUUUUUUGGAACAUUCGUCGGCCAAGAUGGCCGGCGCUGCCAACUCAUCGAGUACAUGCGAGAUGAGAGGAUAG